rnacentral:tRNA from 1 species
GGCCCCAUCGUCUAGAGGCCUAGGACGCUGCCCUCUCACGGCAGUGACGCGGGUUCGAAUCCCGCUGGGGCUA